CCAAAGUGCUGGGAUUACAGGCAUGAGCCAUGGCACCUGGCCUCGUGCUAAUUCUGAUAGAUUGGCAGUGACUUUUUGGAUCACUGUGGGGAGAAGGGCUCCGCAGCGGUAUGGUGAUAGAUUGGCAAUGUCAGUGUCUGCCAUGGGCUAGGAGGCAGCAGUAGUGGCUUCUGUGCUGUGUGUUUGCUAUAAAUGUGAACCCCCAAACAUCCUGUCCACAUGGACCCUGAAGGAUUUCCCCAAAUGCUACCCAUAGGUGAUAUGUCCUAGUAACCCAUUUCUAUGAAGACUGAGCCCUUGGAAAUGCUGAGGCUGUUGAGGGGUUUUACAUUGGUUCCUGCUUCUCACAGCCACUUCCUGUCCCAGAUACCUGGCCCCAGUGUCUGCUCUGGGGUUUAUCUGUGAGGUCACAACUGUUGUCUUAAGGCCUUUGAUCCUGAGGAUUCCUGUCACAUAGAACAGCGUUCUCAGGCUGCCUCCUUUCCUGGCAGUGCCCCUGCUUCUAAAUGCCCCCAUUACCAAAACACACCCACUCUUGACCCAGUCAGGGGUGACAUGCAAACUCAGACCUGGUUUAUGUGGCUGCAAUGUUGAAUCACCUGACUUUCCAAACAGUGCAUCUUAAAAGCAGACACUGGGCUGGGUGCGGUGGCUCACGCCUGUAAUCCCAGCAUUUUGGGAGGCUGAGGUGGGCGAAUCGCUUGAGCCCAGGAAUUCGAGACCCGCCUGAGCAACUUAUCAAGACCCCAUCUCUAUUUUAAAAAUAAAUAAAUAAUUAAUUAAUUUAAAAAUAAAAAAAAAAAGCAGACACUGAAGUCUCUGUAAUGGCGAAGUUCCAGACAUGUGCCAGGUGGAUGGGGACACAUCUGAGGAUAUAGGGACUGCCUGACAUUCCUCAGAUCAUCCCGAACUGGUGUGCGUCCAGACUGGCUUCACCUCACCUUUGUCACUGUUUGCUAAGCCCUGAGCAGGUCUCUGCUGUAUUUCCUCCUGGAGAGUCUUGUUUGGCUGUGAUAGGCGAUUCCGCUCCACCCUGUUUCCCAAGACUUCUGGGAUGUAGGGCUCCCCACCCAGUGCUGAGGACCAAGGGAAAAGCCUGGUGCUCGAAGAGUCAGUCAGUGGUUCCAAAACUCCCAGACAAUGGCUGCGGGGGAAGACAAAAAGUAUUCCUCAGGAUCCCAGAAUUUUCCUGAAAGCAGGAAAAUUGGAGGUCCCGUAAUCCCACCUCUGCCCAGUGCACAUAUCCUUUCCACAGCCCCUCACCAAAUGGCUCGCCAGCUUCCACUUGAAUGCCUCCAGAGACGGGGAGCUCAGUUGGAAAGGAUGGAGGUUAUAGAUAUUGUGUGUUUCUUCGUGUUAUUAUGUAAACUCAAGUUUUCCAAAGUGAAAUCAUUCAUUCCACAACUGUUGAUGGAGCACCGACUAGGUUCCAGGCACUGUCUAGCCAUCAGAGAUAUAGCAGUGAGAAAAACACAGAAAUCCCUGCCCACCACAUAGGCCUGACAUUCCCAUGGGGGAAGAAAGGCAAUAAACAAGUGAGAGUACUGAGGACGUCCUGUGGCAAAAAGUGCUACGUAGAGAAAUGACGUGAGGAUGAGGGACGGGGAGUGCUAUGUUUGCAUUUCAACAUCCUGCAGUCAGCAAAGGUGAUAGUUGAGAAAAGUCCCAAAAGAGAUGAGGGAGCUGGGACAAGCAGGUGUCAUGGAAGAGAGGUCCAGGCAGAGGGGUGGCCAGUGCAAAGGCCCUGUGGCAGGAGCGUAGUGGGAGGGAGGGGGAAACAGCAGGAAGGCCAGUGUGGCUGAGCUGGAUGUGCCAGGUUUGGUGCAAUUUCUCCCAGGACUUCAGGGAGAGGGGCCCUUAGGAGUCCAGGUCUCAACAGGGACUGUGACCACCACACUCCCUUUCCACUCUCUGCCCCAGGCUCCACAUACCUUCCUUGCCCAGCCCAGCAGGCCUGGCCAAGGUGGGCAAUUAUGGCCAGGAACUGAUGGCAAAAAGCUUAGUGAGGUCCAUGCUCCCAUCACAAACCCUUACUGAUCCCUGGGGUCAGACAGACAUGGGUUCAAAUGCUGCCUCUACCACUUCCGAUACAUGUGACCUUGAGCAAGUUAUUUAAUCCCGCUAAGACUAAAUGUUCUUAUCUGUGAAAUGGGUAGUGCUUAUUUUAUUAUAGAGUUGCUGGGAGAAUUAAAUAAAACCUUGCACUUAAAACAUUUAGCAUGGUGCCAGCGCAUAGCAAGUUGGCCAUUACGAUUAUUUUCAUUCGCAUCAUCGUCGGCUUGACCACCUUACAAUUUAUUGUUGACACAGGAUUUCACUGCCCAAGUUUGCAUUUGUGUUUAUGAUUGUGCUGGCAUCGAGUAGUCCUGUUUAAUUGCUGCUGGCUAACAAGAAAAGAACAGAGGCGGAUUUAAUGCGUAAAUGAUGCGUUGAAGCCAAGUGAAGGCCAAAUGAUGUAACAGCCCGCUGUGCAAACAAAAGUAUUGCAGUAAUUCAAAUAGAGAAAGGUUGGGGAGAAUUGAGUCAUUCCCCAGAGCAUGGCAGCAUCUGUAUACAUGUCAAGCUCAAAAGCAGAUCCGCUCUGAGUGGUCAGUCCCAUAUCGCUAAAAGUAGCAAUGUGGUUUCAGGCAAACAACAUCAUCCUUCUCAUUAAACAGAUAUUGUUACUUUAAAUUUUAUUGGGUUUGCAGUUUUGUUUAUAUUUACUAGGUACGUUUCUCCGAUGUAGAUGUACUGCUAAGUAAAAAAGAAAUUGUAGUAUGCUGCCUUUUGAUUAAAAAGGGGAGUAUAGGCCAGCCGUGGUGGCUCAUGCCUGUAAUCCCAGCACUUUGGGAGGCCAAGGUGGGCGGGAUCACGAGGUCAGGAGAUCAAGACCAUCCUGGCUAACACUGUGAAACCCUGUCUCUACUGAAAAUACAAAAAAUUAGCCUGGUGUGGUGGCACGCACCUGUAGUUCCGGCUACUUGGGAGGCUGAGGCAGGAGAAUUGCUUGAACCCGGGAGGUGGAGGUUGCAGUGAGCUGAGAUCUUGCCACUGCACUCCAGCCUGGGUGACACAGGGAGACUCUGUCUCAAAAAAAAAAAAAAAAAAAAAAAAAAAGAAUGAGCGAGUAUAGGCUGGGCGUGGUGGCUCAUGCCUGUAAUCCCAGAACUUUGGGAGGCUGAGGCGGGUGGAUGACCUGAGGUCAGGAGUUCGAGACCAGUCUGGCCAACAUGGUGAAACCCCGUCUCUACUAAAAAUACAAAAAUUAGCUGAGCUUGGUGGUGCACGCUUCUAAUCCCAGCUACUUAGGAGGCUGAGGCAGAAGGAUCGCUUGAACCUGGGAGAUGAAGGUUGCAGUGAGCCGAGAUCGUGCCACUGCACUCCAGCCCAGGUGACAGAGUAAGACUCUAU
rnacentral:lncRNA from 10 species